AUGGACGCUGGCGGCGUGCCUAAUACAUGCAAGUCGAGCGAACAGAUAAGGAGCUUGCUCCUUUGACGUUAGCGGCGGACGGGUGAGUAACACGUGGGUAACCUACCUAUAAGACUGGAAUAACUCCGGGAAACCGGGGCUAAUGCCGGAUAACAUUUAGAACCGCAUGGUUCUAAAGUGAAAGAUGGUUUUGCUAUCACUUAUAGAUGGACCCGCGCCGUAUUAGCUAGUUGGUAAGGUAACGGCUUACCAAGGCAACGAUACGUAGCCGACCUGAGAGGGUGAUCGGCCACACUGGAACUGAGACACGGUCCAGACUCCUACGGGAGGCAGCAGUAGGGAAUCUUCCGCAAUGGGCGAAAGCCUGACGGAGCAACGCCGCGUGAGUGAUGAAGGUCUUCGGAUCGUAAAACUCUGUUAUUAGGGAAGAACAAAUGUGUAAGUAACUGUGCACGUCUUGACGGUACCUAAUCAGAAAGCCACGGCUAACUACGUG
rnacentral:rRNA from 1 species